CUCUGAAAAUGCUGGGAUUGUGAGUAUGAGCCGUUGAACUGGGCCUGCAAUCUCACUUUGAUUUUUUGUAACAGAGAGGUUCUUGGGACUAGGAAUUCUGCUUUACUAGCAGGAUAAGUUUCAUUUAACCUUGGUGUUUUUUGGUUUUGUUUGUUUGUUUUUUUCCCUCUAACAAGAAGUAUUGUGCCUGACUCUAACUUCUCAUUGACCUCAGGUUCUACAGUUGCUUAGCAAUUGUCUUACCCGUAAACUGUUGACAAAAUGGUUUGGUGUUAAGACAUCUGUUUACAGACCAAUGAUAAGGUUGUAGUUGCUCUUGUCUCAUGAAACUGGAGAGAAAUAUGAGGUGGAAUACUUUCCUCAGAAAGGUUUCUAUGUGGAAACAAUGAGUGCUGCCAGUACAUGAAUGGCUAAAAAAGGACACUAAACUCAUGUAUUUCUUCUUCCCCCAACUACAAGCUCGUAUUGGCCAAGGUUCACAGAGACUCCUUUAUUAAAAAGCAGCAUCUGAAGACAAACAGAAGCUCCCAUUUCACCUAUUGCUUUCUACUGAAAAGAUUUUGGAAAUGUCAGAGGGAAUUUCUUAUUUCUACAAUGACUGUCAUUCAAUUUCAUGGGGAAGAACACAGAGAUGGAGAGGAUAGAAAUGAUUGGUCUUGACCCUGGCUGGUCCUAGGAAAUGAUAGGAGAUGAGAGAUUUUUGAGAAUACAAGAAAGGAAAAGAGAAAAGAGUGUUGCAAACAAGGGAAGUGUUGAUAUAAUAAGAUUUAAGGUCAAGAUUCUGUAAAUGAGUAUAUUUAGCAACUAAGAUAAUCAUUCCUGAGCAUG
rnacentral:lncRNA from 1 species